AUUGAACGCUGGCGGCAGGCCUAACACAUGCAAGUCGAGCGGAUGAAGGGAGCUUGCUCCUGGAUUCAGCGGCGGACGGGUGAGUAAUGCCUAGGAAUCUGCCUGGUAGUGGGGGAUAACGUCCGGAAACGGGCGCUAAUACCGCAUACGUCCUGAGGGAGAAAGUAGGGGAUCUUCGGACCUCACGCUCUCAGAUGAGCCUAGGUCGGAUUAGCUAGUUGGUGGGGUAAAGGCCUACCAAGGCGACGAUCCGUAACUGGUCUGAGAGGAUGAUCAGUCACACUGGAACUGAGACACGGUCCAGACUCCUACGGGAGGCAGCAGUGGGGAAUAUUGGACAAAGGGCGAAAGCCUGAUCCAGCCAUGCCGCGUGUGUGAAGAAGGUCUUCGGAUUGUAAAGCACUUUAAGUUGGGAGGAAGGGCAGUAAGUUAAUACCUUGCUGUUUUGACGUUACCAACAGAAUAAGCACCGGCUAACUUCGUG
rnacentral:rRNA from 1 species